AGCUUUGUGCAGUGACAGUAUCGUAGCCAAGAAGGUUUAUCCGAGGUGCGAUUAUUGCUGAUUAAAUCAAAGAUCUGAUCAAGAAUUGAGCCUUGGAUUCUGGUGCCAUGUGGGUCAGACAGAAUUGAAACAAAUGGCUGGAAACUUCUUGCCCACUUGGGAACUGCAGAGG
ensembl:snRNA U4 U4 spliceosomal RNA